CAUAUCAAUAAGCGGAGGAAAAGAAACUAACAAGGAUUCCCCUAGUAACUGCGAGUGAAGCGGGAAAAGCUCAAAUUUAAAAUCUGGCAGUCUUUGGCUGUCCGAGUUGUAAUCUAGAGAAGCGUUAUCCGCGCUGGACCGUGUACAAGUCUCCUGGAAUGGAGCGUCAUAGAGGGUGAGAAUCCCGUCUUUGACACGGACUGCCAGGGCUUUGUGAUGCGCUCUCAAAGAGUCGAGUUGUUUGGGAAUGCAGCUCAAAAUGGGUGGUAAAUUCCAUCUAAAGCUAAAUAUUGGCGAGAGACCGAUAGCGAACAAGUACCGUGAGGGAAAGAUGAAAAGAACUUUGGAAAGAGAGUUAAACAGUACGUGAAAUUGCUGAAAGGGAAACGCUUGAAGUCAGUCGCGUUGUCCAGGGAUCAACCUUGCUUUUGCUUGGUGUACUUUCUGGUUGACGGGUCAGCAUCAAUUUUGACCGUUGGAAAAAGGUCAAGGGAAUGUGGCAUCUUCGGAUGUGUUAUAGCCCUUGGUUGCAUGCAAUGGUUGGGAUUGAGGAACUCAGCACGCCGCAAGGCCGGGUUUUUAACCACGUACGUGCUUAGGAUGCUGGCAUAAUGGCUUUAAUCGACCCGUCUUGAAACACGGACCAAGGAGUCUAACAUGCCUGCGAGUGUUUGGGUGGAAAACCCGAGCGCGCAAUGAAAGUGAAAGUUGAGAUCCCUGUCGUGGGGAGCAUCGACGCCCGGACCAGACCUUUUGUGACGGUUCCGCGGUAGAGCAUGUAUGUUGGGACCCGAAAGAUGGUGAACUAUGCCUGAAUAGGGUGAAGCCAGAGGAAACUCUGGUGGAGGCUCGUAGCGAUUCUGACGUGCAAAUCGAUCGUCAAAUUUGGGUAUAGGGGCGAAAGACUAAUCGAACCAUCUAGUAGCUGG
rnacentral:rRNA from 1 species